rnacentral:sRNA from 1 species
GGCCAACGUACUAUCCCGGUUGUGGGCGG